rnacentral:rRNA from 1 species
GCGAGCUCCGGUCCGGCGGCGCGUGUAGUGUGGGGGGGGGUAGCGUUGGUCGGAAUUACUGGGCGUAAAGCGGCGGUAGGCGGACCUGGAAGGCGGGGGUGAAAGCCCGAGGCUCAACCUCGGAACUGCCUUCGAUACUGCGGGUCUCGAGUCCGGGAGAGGUGAGUGGAAUUCCUAGUGUAGAGGUGAAAUUCGUAGAGAUUAGGAAGAACACCAGUGGCGAAGGCGGCUCACUGGCCCGGUACUGACGCUGAGGCGCGAAAGCGUGGGGAGCAAACAGGAUUAGAUACCCUAGUAGUC